UUAGAUCACCGAAGUCAAGCAUCAUUGGGCGCGGUCAGUACUUGGGUAGGUGACCACCUGGGAACACCGCGUGCCGUU
rnacentral:rRNA from 1 species